GACGAACGCUGGCGGCGCGCCUAACACAUGCAAGUCGAGCGAGAACCAGGGCUUCGGCCCUGGGGACAGCGGCGAACGGGUGAGUAACACGUGGAUAACCUGCCCUCGGCACCGGAAUAGCCCGAGGAAACUCGGAUUAAUGCCGGAUAGCCCCACAUCCCUGCGGGGAACGUGGGAAAAGGUAGCUUCGGCCUCUGGCCGGGGAUGGGUCCGCGGUGGAUUAGCUUGUUGGCGGGGUAACGGCCCACCAAGGCAACGAUCCAUAGCUGGUCUGGGGGGAUGAUCAGCCACACUGGGACUAGGACACGGCCCAGACUCCUACGGGAGGCAGCAGUGGGGAAUCUUGCGCAAUGGGCGAAAGCCUGACGCAGCGACGCCGCGUGCGGGAAGAAGGCCUUCGGGUUGUAAACCUCUUUCAGGAGGGACGAAGCCACUCGGGUGAAUAGCCCAGAGGGUGACGGUACCUCCAGAAGAAGCCCCGGCUAACUACGUGCCAGCAGCCGCAGUAAUAC
rnacentral:rRNA from 1 species